rnacentral:rRNA from 1 species
CUUAUAAAGAGUUUGAUGUUGGCUCAGUGCAAUUGCUAUUCAGAUGCCUAAUACAUGCGAAUCAAACGGUCCCCUCCCAGAAAUGGGAUAAGGGACUAGCGUGGUGUACUCGUGCGUAGGUAGUGGUAAUCUGAACCAUAAUUCCGGUUAAAUACCGAAAUCCCAUUGAUCCUCUGAAUGCAAAUUCAUGAUUGUGGGAAAGGAUAUCUCGAUAUCCGAUUAUGGUCGAGCUACUACGAAUAUUAGGUAGUAGAUCCGGGUAAAAGCGGGAUCUAGCUGAAGAUAUUUAGUUGGUUAUUAGUGUAAGCCCAAUCACGUUGACAUUGAAAAACGGUCAAGAUAAGCAUCAGCUUGUCCAGCAGUAGGGAAUAUUCGUCAAUAAGUGAAAACUUGAACGAGCAAUCUGAAAAAGUGGAAAUGAGUCGUAUUCUGAAUUCGAAGCAAUUAAUAGAUGACUCUAAAUGAUUUUAAUAUAAAGCUUUAACAAUAGGAUGAAUAAUGAUCGUCCGAUUGAAAUAGCCCUUACUAAAUGGCGUGCCAGCAGUAGCGGUUAGACGUCGAGGGCGAGUAAUGCACAUUAUAGGCUUAAAGGGUUCGUAGAAUGGUCCGAUUGUUUCUUGAAACUAGGACUAGAGUCUCCCCGUCGAUAUCUGAAUUAGGAGAGUAAUGGUUAAAUGUCGUAAUACUCCUAGGACAACCAACGGCGUCGCGGGCUGACUGACAUUGAGGAACGAAAGCUAGAGUAGCGAAACGGAUUCGUUACCCGUUUAGUUCUAGCCGUAAACUAUGAAUGUUAUUUUUAAGAAGUGAAAACUCAAACAUUCCGCCUGGGGAGUACGAUCGCAAGAUUGAAACUCAAAACAAUAGACGGUAUAAGUUUAUACACAGUGGAUCAUGUAGUUUAAUUCGAUAAUCCGCGAAAACCUUACCAUUCUUUGUAUGCGGAGUUCUCCGACACAAGUGUUACAUCGCUGUCUUUAGUUCAUGCCGUGAGGUAUUCGGUUCAGUCCUGAAAUGAACAAAAUCCGGAUUUCUAAGCAAUUGGAAAGUUUGGAUGUGCAUAUUAUAUUCAAUAAGCCGGAUUAAGACAAGCCCUCAUGACCUAAAUAGAAUGGGCUAUAUACGUGAUACAAAUCUGUCGACAAACUCGAGUCAAAUCGCGAGAUCAGACCAAGGAGUCAAAAGACAGAAAAUAUGAAUAUAUCAUUAUAUUCUAUCUCCAUAUGAAUCAUACGCUGUAACUCGCGUGUGUGAAAACGGAAUUGUGAGUAAUACGUAAUCUAGCACAUUACGGUGAAACAUUCUCUUAUGCGUACUAAUCACUCAUCAUUCGCUUGAAGAACCGCCUAUCAAAAUCCGUGGCACCGCACCCCCAUACCUCCAUCUGGGAGAAUCCGGAGGCGGAAAUCACCAUGGAUCAGCUACAAGGUUUGACAAGUGAGAAGUUGAAAUAGGUUGUGGUAGAGGAAUCUGCUGCGGACUAUUAAUCGAU